rnacentral:lncRNA from 1 species
UUUAUAAUCAUCAAAACCUGCAACUGAUUGUUAACAGAAUAAUUUCUAAGACCACAGUAAUUAACAAAAUGUACCACAGAGAAUCACAAACUUACUAACUGAAAAUGAAUUUGGUAACUAACUGAUUUCAUGUCUAACUAACUAUUGAAUUUGAUUGUAAUUUCAUGAGCAUUUGGCAAUUGAAUUCGAAAUGCUAUAAAUUCUGCACAUCUUCAACAGAAAAAGGAUUCUUCAUUCAUUUACAGAAACAGAUCCAAAAUCAAUCGAAAUAACAGAGAAAUUCGCACAUCACAGACCAUCCAAAAAUCGGUUUUCACUCUUCACUCUCAAUCUCUCUUCACAAUUUCUCAGAACCUCUCAAUAAUUCCACGCAAUUCCUCACAACGAUUCAACAUGGAGCGAACAACGCUGCAGCAACAAUAACGCACGCCAAGGAAGAAUAAGAGAUGAAGCGAUUCGGAAUAAGGGAAAAGACUCGUACCUGUUCGCAAUCAGAGUUUCAAACCGAGGCUCAGAGCUUUGCAAAUCUUGGCCGAACCAUGGAGUUUUGAUAAUGAGCGAACGAUUCCGGAAUCCAUACGCGUCGACGAGUGCAUUUUAGCUCCGAAUUGGAUUUAGCUUCAGAGUUUGGGCGCACCGAUAUUACUACACCACGACCGGCCCCGGUGAUCCGGGAAGCAUCCGUUGAAGCACAUCGUGUGAAGCCUUGGGGAAGACAAAGCGGCGGAGUUUAGGCGCGACAAAGAGAAGAGGAGUUAUCACCUGAUUCAAGCCCAUCCUUUUCAGUUCAUUAUCCUCGGCGGAGCAACCGCGUCGGAGUCACGAUUUGGUAUGUUUUCUCAUGCCUCUUACUUAUCUUAUCAAACUGAGUCUUGUGAACACAUUCAUCGGCCUAGUCGUCCCGAUUCCAUCGCAACAUGCCAAGGACCUAGGCUUCGAUAUAAAUCCGUUGAUUUGGAGAAGAUGAAUGAUGGAUUCUACUUGGUGAAACAAGCUCGGAUUUGCGUACGGAUUUGUUCAUGGCUUCCGUGAAGCAUCUAGAAAUAAGAUGAUGAUGAAGGUGAAAGUAAUUAUGGAGAUUGAUGUUUCUAGUUUUGAUGGAGCUUUGAAUGUAGGAGUUAGGGUACGG